AAGUCGUAACAAGGUUUCCGUAGGUGAACCUGCGGAAGGAUCAUUAUUGAAUUCACUAGUCACGCUGUCGCUGGCUCCUUUGGAGCAUGUGCACGCUGGGCAAGUCCUUUCAACCUCCUGUGAACCCUUUGUAGAUUUCUUUGUACGGGAAGUAGGCGCAACUCUCAAAGGUUGUACCUUUGGACUAGAUUGCUGCAGGCUUCCAUUGGAGUCGGCUUCAUUCUAACGUGUUGAAACCCGUCUUAGGAUCUAUGCUUAUAUACCCCAUAGUAUGUCUUGAACGUUGAUAUAAGGGCUUUGAUGCCUUUAAAUCUAAUACAACUUUCAGCAACGGAUCUCUUGGCUCUC
rnacentral:misc_RNA from 1 species